rnacentral:rRNA from 1 species
AGCGAACGCUGGCGGCAGGCCUAACACAUGCAAGUCGAACGAACCUUUCGGGGUUAGUGGCGGACGGGUGAGUAACACGUGGGAACGUGCCUUUAGGUUCGGAAUAACUCAGGGAAACUUGUGCUAAUACCGAAUGUGCCCUUCGGGGGAAAGAUUUAUCGCCUUUAGAGCGGCCCGCGUCUGAUUAGCUAGUUGGUUGAGGUAAUGGCUCACCAAGGCGACGAUCAGUAGCUGGUCUGAGAGGAUGAUCAGCCACAUUGGGACUGAGACACGGCCCAAACUCCUACGGGAAGCAGCAGUGGGGAAUCUUGCGCAAGGGGCGAAAGCCUGACGCAGCCAUGCCGCGUGAAUGAUGAAGGUCUUAGGAUUGUAAAAUUCUUUCACCGGGGACGAUAAUGACGGUACCCGGAGAAGAAGCCCCGGCUAACUUCGUG